UACGUAGGGUCCGAGCGUUGUCCGGAAUUACUGGGCGUAAAGAGCUCGUAGGUGGUUUGUCGCGUUGUUCGUGAAAACUCACAGCUCAACUGUGGGCGUGCGGGCGAUACGGGCAGACUUGAGUACUGCAGGGAAGACUGGAAUUCCUGGUGUAGCGGUGGAAUGCGCAGAUAUCAGGAGGAACACCGGUGGCGAAGGCGGGUCUCUGGGCAGUAACUGACGCUGAGGAGCGAAAGCGUGGGGAGCGAACAGG
rnacentral:rRNA from 1 species